AGUGAACGCUGGCGGUAGGCCUAACACAUGCAAGUCGAACGGCAGCACAGUAAGAGCUUGCUCUUACGGGUGGCGAGUGGCGGACGGGUGAGGAAUACAUCGGAAUCUACUUUUUCGUGGGGGUUAACGUAGGGAAACUUACGCUCAUACCGCAUACGCCCUACGGGUGAAAGCAGGGGAUCUUCGCACCUUGCGCGAUUGAAUGAGCCGCUGUCGGAUUAGCUAGUUGGCGGGGUAAUGGCCCACCAAGGCGACGAUCCGUAGCUGGUCGGAGAGGAUGAUCGGCGACACUGGAGGGGGGACACGGUCCAGAGGCCUGCGGGAGGGAGCAGUCGGGAAUGUUGGACAAUGGGGGCAAGCCUGAUCCAGCGAGAGCGCGUGGGUGACGGAGGCCUUCGGGUUGUAAAGCCGGUUUGUUGGGAAAGAAAAGCAGCAGGUUAAUACGCCGCUGUUCUGACGGUACCCAAAGAAGAAGCACCGGCUAACUUCGUG
rnacentral:rRNA from 1 species